CCCUUCCCGGGACUCAGCGGCACCGAGCGACCCCGGCUGGAUCAGGACGCACCUGCGGCGUAGCGCGGCCCUCAGCCCCGGCUGGAAACUGUGUCGGGUUGGAAUUCCCGUUCCCGCAGGUGGAAACAGAAUAACAGAGAACACAAAAGAUGGAUUCCACAAGUAAUUAGACCCCAAAUAAUUCACACACAAGGUCCAUCCAAACGUUCCUCGCCGCUGGAAACUUUGGCUCCUGAGCACUCAGAGAGCUUGGGUUGAUUCAAAUACAGCUUCAUUCCUGUCCCUGAAGGAAGUAAGAAAAGAAGGCCAUCAGAAAAUAAAGGGGGACCAUAAUAACAGCAAACUCCCACAGCUUCUAUUGAUCUCAGAGAACAGCAGUGAGAUGUCCUUACAGCCACAGUGUUUUCUGAAUCUACACCACGACCUUGGAAGCAACGAUUUGGCAGUCUGACAGGGAAGCAAUGUGCCCACAGAGGGGACCUUGUGAGAAGGAGCUGGAACAGACGUGCUCAGGAGGAUGGCAGUGACGGGUUGGUGCUUGGACUUGAUGGCCUUGGAUGUCUUUUCCAACCUUAAGGAUCCUAUGGGGUCAUCAAACAGCUCUCAAGCCCAUUCCACCACACUCCAGUCACCCUGCUCAGAUAUCCCCAAAUAUUCAGACUAGUCAGCUAAUGCUAGCUGGCAAGAAUAGCAUGGACACAUCAGAAACUUGAGAGGAAGGAUGACAUGGUCAGGAGACAGCAAGAAGAAAUACUUUCCUCAGCCCUUUGAGCAAGGCCUGGCAUCAGAUUAAAGUCAGGCUUUGAGUGCACUUGUAAUUGCAUUCCUGGUUGGAAACUGAGAACUGCAUUAGCACAGCUGAAGUCAGGGGACUGCUCCAUGAAAAAAAGUUGUGUUUUUUUUCCUGGAAGAUGGAGGAGGAUAACUGAGCUGGAAGAACUGCACCAUGUCCGCUCCCAGCUCCUCAGAUGGGAGCUCUGUGGUUGUUACAAUCCACACCUCCCAGCCCACAUGUUGGGCUAUAGGAGUGCAUGGGGAAAAAAAAAGAAAAAAAAAGAUUUAUUCCUGAAGGAAUAUUUCCUACAGCUGGUGAUGAGCAGCGCUAUGACCUCCCAGUCAUAU